rnacentral:rRNA from 1 species
CACCGGUGAGUAACACGUAUCCAACCUGCCGUCUACUCUUGGACAGCCUUCUGAAAGGAAGAUUAAUACAAGAUGGCAUCAUGAGUCCGCAUGUUCACAUGAUUAAAGGUAUUCCGGUAGACGAUGGGGAUGCGUUCCAUUAGAUAGUAGGCGGGGUAACGGCCCACCUAGUCUUCGAUGGAUAGGGGUUCUGAGAGGAAGGUCCCCCACAUUGGAACUGAGACACGGUCCAA